rnacentral:tRNA from 1 species
CGCGGGGUAGCGCAGCUCGGCAGCGCAGUGGUCUCAUACGCCAACGGUCGCGGGUUCGAAUCCCGCCCCCGCUA